UACGUAGGGUGCAGGCGUUAAUCGGAAUUACUGGGCGUAAAGCGUGCGUAGGCGGUUUGUCGCGUCUGCUGUGAAAACUCGAGGCUCAACCUCGGGCUUGCAGUGGGUACGGGCAGACUAGAGUGCGGUAGGGGUGACUGGAAUUCCUGGUGUAGCGGUGGAAUGCGCAGAUAUCAGGAGGAACACCGAUGGCGAAGGCAGGUCACUGGGCCGCAACUGACGCUGAGGAGCGAAAGCAUGGGGAGCGAACAGG
rnacentral:rRNA from 1 species